AUUGAACGCUGGCGGCAGGCCUAACACAUGCAAGUCGAGCGGAUGAAGGGAGCUUGCGCCUGGAUUCAGCGGCGGACGGGGGAGUAAUGCCUAGGAAUCUGCCGGGCAGGGGGGGAUAACGUCCGGAAACGGGCGCUAAUACCGCAGACGUGCUGAGGGAGAAAGAGGGGGAGGGUCGGACCUCACGCUAGCAGAGGAGCCGAGGUCGGACUAGCUAGUUGGUGGGGUAACGGCCUACCAAGGCGACGAUCCGUAACUGGUCUGAGGGGAUGAGCCGUCACACUGAAGGUGAGACGCGGUACUGGCUCCUACGGGCGGCCGCGGUGGCGACUAUUGGCCGCUGGGCGAAAGCCUGCUCCAGCCAUGCCGCGUGUGUGCAGCAGCUCCUCGGGUUGUAAAGCGCUUUACGUUGGGAGGAAGGGCAGUAAGUUUAUCCCUUGCUGUUUUGCCGUUACCAACAGAAUAGGCCCCGGCUACCUUCGU
rnacentral:rRNA from 1 species